GAUGAACGCUGGCGGCGUGCCUAAUACAUGCAAGUCGAGCGAACGGACGAGAAGCUUGCUUCUCUGAUGUUAGCGGCGGACGGGUGAGUAACACGUGGAUAACCUACCUAUAAGACUGGGAUAACUUCGGGAAACCGGAGCUAAUACCGGAUGAUAUUUUGAACCGCAUGGUUCAAAAGUGAAAGACGGUCUUGCUGUCACUUAUAGAUGGAUCCGCGCUGCAUUAGCUAGUUGGUAAGGUAACGGCUUACCAAGGCGACGAUGCAUAGCCGACCUGAGAGGGUGAUCGGCCACACUGGAACUGAGACACGGUCCAGACUCCUACGGGAGGCAGCAGUAGGGAAUCUUCCGCAAUGGGCGAAAGCCUGACGGAGCAACGCCGCGUGAGUGGUGAAGGUCUUCGGAUCGUAAAACUCUGUUAUUAGGGAAGAACAUAUGUGUAAGUAACUGUGCACAUCUUGACGGUACCUAAUCAGAAAGCCACGGCUAACUACGUG
rnacentral:rRNA from 1 species